rnacentral:rRNA from 1 species
CAGUCGCCACGGUAAUACGAAGGGUGCAAGCGUUACUCGGAAUUACUGGGCGUAAAGCGUGCGUAGGUGGUUGUUUAAGUCUGUUGUGAAAGCCCUGGGCUCAACCUGGGAAUUGCAGUGGAUACUAAGCAACUAGAGUGUGGUAGAGGGUAGUGGAAUUCCCGGUGUAGCAGUGAAAUGCGUAGAGAUCGGGAGGAACAUCCAUGGCGAAGGCAGCUACCUGGACCAACACUGACACUGAGGCACGAAAGCGUGGGGAGCAAACAGGAUUAGAUACCCCUGUAGUCCCUGUCUCUUAUAC